CAGUAGCCACGGUAAUACGGAGGGUGCAAGCGUUAAUCGGAAUUACUGGGCGUAAAGCGUGCGUAGGCGGUUCGUUAAGUCUGUUGUGAAAGCCCCGGGCUCAACCUGGGAAUGGCAAUGGAUACUGGCGAGCUAGAGUGUGUCAGAGGAUGGUGGAAUUCCCGGUGUAGCGGUGAAAUGCGUAGAGAUCGGGAGGAACAUCUGUGGCGAAAGCGGCUCACUGGACAAUAACUGACGCUGAUGCACGAAAGCUAGGGGAGCAAACAGGAUUAGAUACCCCUGUAGUCCCUGUCUCUUAUAC
rnacentral:rRNA from 1 species